rnacentral:lncRNA from 1 species
GGGGCACAGCUGUGGAGGUGGCAGGAGGGUCCUGGAGGGGCAGGUGUUCUGCGUCAGGACUGUGUGUCGGCUGUCCUGCUGGUGAGACUGUUCUCUGGUUUUGCAGGAUACUGCUGUAGAGGGAACCAGGAUGAUGAGCGCCAGGGAUCUCUGUGUUAAUGCUGACAUACAUACUGACUUUAGGUCUGGGCCAUCCUAUCCAGGUCUGGAGUUUUGGCAAGAAGUCCAUGUGCAGGGCCUUGGGAACUGUUUUGCAAGUGUAUCCUGGGAUUUUGUAAUCAACAGUAAUGGAGAUUGAAUCCAAGGCUUUUGCACUGAACUCCAACCUCGGUCCUUUUUAUUUUUUACUCUGAGACUGGGUCUUCCUAAAUCACUACUGGUAAGUUGCCCAGGUUAGGCUGGAACUUGCAGUCCUCCUGCCUCAGUCUCCCAGAGAGCUGCGAU